rnacentral:rRNA from 1 species
UACGGGGGGAGCAAGCGUUGUUCGGAAUUACUGGGCGUAAAGCGCACGUAGGCGGACUAUUAAGUCAGGGGUGAAAUCCCGGGGCUCAACCCCGGAACUGCCUUUGAUACUGGUAGUCUCGAGUCCGGAAGAGGUGAGUGGAAUUCCGAGUGUAGAGGUGAAAUGCGCAGAUAUCAGGAGGAACACCGAUGGCGAAGGCAGCUCGCUGGGACGGUACUGACGCUGAGACGCGAAAGCGUGGGGAGCAAACAGG